CGUGCACCAGUGGGGUCCCUCGGCCUGGCCUGUGCCCUCUCACAAUCUGGGACCCCUUGGGGGAUGUCAGAGAGCCAGUUUCGGCCUGAUCCCCACAGGCCAGGCCGAGGGACCCCACCGGUGCAUG
rnacentral:pre_miRNA from 1 species